UACGUAGGUGGCGAGCGUUGUCCGGAUUUACUGGGCGUAAAGCGCGCGCAGGCGGCAGUCUAAGUCCUCUGUGAAAUCACCCGGCUCAACUGGGUGGCUGCGGAGGAGACUGGGCAGCUUGAGGGGCCUAGAGGCCGGUGGAACUCCCGGUGUAGUGGUGAAAUACGUAGAGAUUGGGAAGAACACCAGUGGCGAAGGCGGCUAUCUGGACGGUUUCUGACACUAAGACUCGAAAGCGUGGGGAGCAAACAGG
rnacentral:rRNA from 1 species